GGAGGAGCGAACGUUGUUCGGAAUUACUGGGCGUAGAGGGGCGUGUAGGCGGUCGGGGUAAGUCAGGUGUGAAAGACUGUCGCUCAACGGCAGACCUGCAUCUGAUACUGCUCGACUUGAGGUCAGGAGAGGAGAGCGGAAUUCCCAGUGUAGCGGUGGAAUGCGUAGAUAUUGGGAAGAACACCAGUGGCGAAGGCGGCUCUCUGGACUGAUUCUGACGCUGAGGCGCGAAAGCUGGGGGAGCAAACAGGAUUAGAUACCCUGGUAGUCCCAGCCGUAAACGAUGGGCACUAGGUGCUGGGGAUAUCGACAUCUUCAGCGCCGUAGCUAAUGCAUUAAGUGCCCCGCCUGGGGAGUACGACCGCAAGGUUG
rnacentral:rRNA from 1 species